GUGAUUCAAACGACAUGGCAGCACUCUGCUCUUUUCUGGAAGCUUAGGGCUUAACAAUGGAGUCAGAGCAUGUCAGAGCCUCGUCUACACUAUGGGAAUACUAAGCACCCGCCUCAAGAGAUUGUUAGGGUUAAACGAGUUAAUAUCAUAGUAUUUCAGGGCAGUUCUCAGCACAGAGGGAGCGAUGGGUAAGGGCUGACUGUUUCGGAAGAUUCUGGCCUCGCCCAGUGUGUUUGGGCGCGGGGGCAAGGCUGGCCAAUGAGGUGGCCCCCCGGUGCCGGCACAGUCCCGACAGCCGCCCCCUCCCCUGAACCUCUGCGGCCCAGUCCCCGCUUACCUGAGGGGUGGAGCCGGCAGCCCGCGGAGCCACUGGCCAAGCUGAGAAGUCCGGCCCAACUCCACACCGCAGAGCCGGCGCCUCCUCGGCAGUAGGCCAUCCAGAACAUGUGCAAGCCAGCGACACUACAGGCAGCUCUGGGAGCCAAUUUAUAUACCAACUCCUGAUGGUACGUCCAGCCUGCUGCCCAGGAAGGAAGCCAGUGCUGGCAGCUGGAAGGCGCCUGGCGUGUAUGGGAGCAUCAAGAGCAUGGGGAGAUGCACUGCAGUGGCCAGCACAGUCCUACAGUCUGUUAUCACAGUCUCACUCUCUGUAAUAAGAAGGUUAAUCAGGACUCUGAUCAUCUGCCCUCAUCUUCCGGUGUUACAAGUCAAGCAAAACUGUGGUGGCUGCCAGCUGAUUUCAUUCCCGGAAGCCCAAAGCUUUAUCAGCAGAAGGUCACUUCCAGCACACAGAUAAGAUUAGCCACGCCUCUCACUUCACCUCCAGCUCCUCACUUUUCCAGAAUUAUCAACUAUCCUAUUUCUGUUCAAAGUAGCCAAAAUUAACCGAGGGCUGCUCUUUGGGGGCUUCUGCAGGGAGCGUGCACCCUAUGGCCAGCAGGAGCAGCACCUCCUUCCCUCCACCAAGAAUCUGUGGCAUCCCUGUUACAGAAUGGAAUGUGCUAGAGCUCUCAGGGAUGUUGAGGUAGGAAACAGUUCGAGAAGAUGGAACCAGAAGACGAUUCGGGAAGCCUGGGAUCAGAGUGGAGAACAGCAGGGGUCUUCAGCAUGGUCCUUUGGUUUCCGAAGCAGUGCCUGGCGCCUUGUAAUGGCUCAAUGCUCGUCAGCCAUUGCCACUAUGGAACAUUCCUGAAGGGCGUUUCCUCCAGGCUGUGGUACUGUCUGGAGAAUUACUGUGGCUCCCUGCUCAAGCCUAUGGCUCUAGGGCCACCAUCUCUGACCUUGGCACCAUCCACCCCCAGCGAUGCACAGAUUGGACAAGGUCUCCCUGGAGACUUCAUCCUGCACGCAGGUGCUGCCCUCUGUUGGCCAUACUCUUUGUGUGCAGCUUAACUUUUCUUGGUUACCUUUACUUUUUUUUCUCAGUGGCUUUGUUCUCCCUCUCAGCCUGGCCUCCAAGGCCACUUCCUGCUCUGCCACUUGGUAUGGUUCAGGGCUGCCCUGCUGUCAGCCACGGCCCAUUUUUAGAGCUCUUUUGCAUCAUGUAGGUUCAUGAGCAUCUGUGUCAGAGGCUGAUAUUUACUGAUGUGCCUCCCACAUUGGGGAUGGUGUGGUGGCAGGUGGGUGGGGUUUGAAACUGAGAACUCUAACAGAAGUUGGGUACAUAGUGACUGCGUCCAAACCCCUGCACCAAGAGACUGGACCGACCCUAGCAUGGCUUCUGGGAGCCCAAAGCAGCAUCCCUGGGACCACCUGGCCACCCUUUGAGUUCCUGUCUGAAAAGCUCAAGGCCGUGAAAAUCGUUUAGCGCUUGUUCCUACCAACACCUGACAACAGGCCUCUGACCACCCCCCCACCCAACUUGCUUAGAGCAUUUACAUUAAAAACGUUUAGAGUCGUACCUCCUUCCCUUGUCCCUUUGAGAUGUACACGCAUGUCUGUCCAGGAGUGUCUUUCUCAAAAGCCUGAGAGCCAGUCCUUUGAAAUGGCAUCAUCAGGAGGGAUGGGGCCUGUCUCCCAGGCUCUGGGGGAGGACAGAAGCUAACUUCCAUCACUGCCAGCUGGCACACACAGCUGGCCCGGCCACAGUAACACAA